CGUGCUGCUCAGAUAAGCUAUUUAAAGCUAAACGUUCCGUGUGCUCAGACCUGAAGCUUUCCAUGUUGUCAUUGCUGAACGGAUUCUGUCAUCGCCAGUGAACUGUCAGUGAGUUGAAGAGCAUUUAAACUAUCGCAAGUCACUUGGAGUUUGAAGUAGAAUUCUUUGCGCGACAGCGCAAGUUACUACGUGCGCUUCAAGAAAACAACCGCCCCCCCUGCUGAUAUGGGUGUAAAAAUGCUGCAGUGCUUUCCCUUCUAUAGACGCUGCAAGGAGAGGUGCAAAAGACAGUGCCCUCCGGAAACGGCAAUAGCUAGUGAAGAGGUGAAACCUCGGCUGUGUUCUACUACUUCCUGGGGCAGUGAAGGAGACAGCGGCAGCAAUACGAGUUGCCCACAGGCCUAUUUUUCCCACAAAGCUCGGCUCUCACUUCGACACCAGAUGGAUAGCAACAUCAAUGCAGUGGAUGCCACAUACUAACUUUGUUCUGCAAGCGAUCUCUAGAGAAUCCUUGAAAGGAAACUUCAGAUUACAGCCCCAGUCCAGUUUAAGUCCCGUAUUGGAGAGUUUUGGUUGGGAACUGGAGGAUGAGCCAUUAGGAGGAACAAGCAGGAUGAAAGUUUGCCUCUCUUUGCACGCUCAUGGACACUCAUGAGCGUCAACUGUAUGCAUUGUCAAGACAAAUGUCUGAAUCUUUUUAACGGUACAGCAAUGAGUGUAAAAUGGUACAUCUGAGUGUAUUUUGGUGAAAGGGGAUUUUAUCAAACACUCUUAAGAGUGAUGUUUACAUAAUAACCAGUAAGUGCUUUUUUGUAGCUUGUAGCAUUUGCCCUCCACAGACAGCCUCUGCUAUACAUGCAUCUUUUUAAUUGAGGAGACACUGACAUGAGCUUUUUGAGCCAGAUAUAAAUUUGUUCAGUAGGAUUCUUUGAUGAGUAAGAGUCCUAAUAUAAUUAACCAUGCUUUGCCUUGCUGGUUGUACAUUCAGUGUAUACUGUGAAGCAACUGAAUGUUUUGUUUUCUUCCACAUAAGCUUAUUUUGCCAUGUAAGUGCCAUUUCUCUGCUCUACAGCUGCAUCAA